UCAUGGGGGUGCCUUUAACUUGCCAAGUCGAACGCGCCCUUUCGGUUCUGAGCUGCCGGAGAGUGGAGUACGGGCGGGUUACGCGCCCUUCUCUGCCCAUGUCGCGCGGGAAACUGGGGGGAAUACCAUAUUCAUCCUAUGUACGGACUGUUGAGCGAAGCGGGAGCUUCCCCCGAACCUCUAGCGAUUGGGUGGGCCAACGUCCUAUUAACUCGACGAUGAAGAACUGGCUCACCUAGAUGACCAUCCGCACUGGGUCUGAGACGAUGAUCCGACUCCUACGGAAUGAAACACGGCCCAAUCUCCUACAGUGGGCACAAGCGGGAAAUUUUGGUGCAUGGUGACCGAUGAAAGCCUUCCAUUUGUCGAGAUCUUUCAAGGCCUUCGAUUUGGACUGUUCUUCCAGCCGAAACCACAUCUAGGUCCCUGCCAUAAGCCAUGGAAGACCGGUCCGGGCUAACAUUGUUCGGAAUUAUUGGUGCCAACACGCACGUUAGCACACUGGGUGCUAGCGUUUGAAAGCCCUACUGUCAGCCCCGGAACUGCCUUUGAAUUUCCCAGACUUAUGUUAAAUCCCCGUGAUUGGACUGCCAACUGUAUAUGUGACUUUCAGGCUUAAUCACAGCAAAAGCGGGGGCAAUUCCUGCUGUAGGACUGAAUAGUGUCGAUGUCAUGCGGAACCGUGAUGAGCAAAGAAGAUCCCAUAGCCUGUACUGACACUCCUGAACCAAUGCAUGGCAAUCAACCGGGCAUUAUGCUCCUCUGGUGACCCACCUCACGGACUAUGUCUUCCAGCUGGUCAGAACAGCCAUGCAGUUUAAUGACCCAAACGAAUUGAUGGAGGCCACCGCCAGCGGAGUACCGUGUGGUUUAUAUCACACAAACGAAUUGACCGUAACCACCCCUUGCGUGGGAUGUCGCGGGAUCAAAUCAGGGCUCCUCCAAAUACGCUGGCAUACCCCUCACGUGUCUGGGUACCUGCCUACAAUUCGAGUCGGCCUAUGGUG
rnacentral:rRNA from 1 species